GCGCCCGUAGCUCAGUGGUCAGAGCGGCCCGCUCAUAACGGGUUGGUCGCAGGUUCGAACCCUGCCGGGCGCA
rnacentral:tRNA from 1 species